rnacentral:rRNA from 1 species
GGAUGCGAUCAUACCAGCACUAAAGCACCGGAUCCCAUCAGAACUCUGAAGUUAAGCGUGCUUGGGCAAGAGUAGUACUAGGAUGGGUGACCUCCUAGGAAGUCCUCGUGUUGCAUUCC